UCAAAAUGCAAAUUUGAAGAAGCACCCUAAAAGGUGCCGGGGCUUCUCCCGUUU
rnacentral:tRNA from 1 species